rnacentral:rRNA from 1 species
ACGAACGCUGGCGGCAUGCUUAACACAUGCAAGUUGAACGGACAAUACUGGCUUGCCAGUAUUGUUAGUGGCAGACGGGUGAGUAACGCGUGGGAAUCUACCUGGUAGUACGGAAUAGCAGUUGGAAACGACUGGUAAUACCGUAUAUUCUCUUUGGAGGAAAGAUUUAUCGCUACCAGAUGAGCCCGCGUCAGAUUAGGUAGUUGGUGGGGUAAAGGCCUACCAAGCCUGCGAUCUGUAGCUGGUCUGAGAGGAUGAUCAGCCACACUGGGACUGAGACACGGCCCAGACUCCUACGGGAGGCAGCAGUGGGGAAUAUUGGACAAUGGGCGAAAGCCUGAUCCAGCAAUGCCGCGUGAGUGAUGAAGGCCUUAGGGUUGUAAAGCUCUUUUAGUGGGGAAGAUAAUGACGGUACCCACAGAAAAAGCACCGGCUAACUUCGU